rnacentral:rRNA from 1 species
GUGUCAGCAGCCGCGGUAAUACAGAGGGUGCGAGCGUUAAUCGGAAUUACUGGGCGUAAAGCGCACGUAGAUGGCUUCGUAAGUCGGAUGUGAAAUCCCCGGGCUCAACCUGGGAACUGCAUUCGAAACUGCGUUGCUCGAAUGUGGAAGAGGGAAGCGGAAUUCCAGGUGUAGCGGUGAAAUGCGUAGAUAUCUGGAGGAACAUCAGUGGCGAAAGCGGCUUCCUGGUCCAACAUUGACAUUCAGGUGCGAAAGCGUGGGGAGCAAACAGGAUUAGAUACCCUGGUAGUCCACGCCAUAAACGAUGCGAACUAGAUGUCGAGAGGGUCAGCCUCCCGGUGUCGCAGCUAACGCGGUAAGUUCGCCGCCUGGGGAGUACGGCCGCAAGGUUGAA